GUGCCUAAUACAUGCAAGUCGAACGCUUCUUUUUCCACCGGCAGCUUGCUCCACCGGAAAAAGAGGAGUGGCGAACGGGUGAGUAACACGUGGGUAACCUGCCCAUCAGAAGGGGAUAACACUUGGAAACAGGUGCUAAUACCGUAUAACAAUCGAAACCGCAUGGUUUUGAUUUGAAAGGCGCUUUCGGGUGUCGCUGAUGGAUGGACCCGCGGUGCAUUAGCUAGUUGGUGAGGUAACGGCUCACCAAGGCCACGAUGCAUAGCCGACCUGAGAGGGUGAUCGGCCACAUUGGGACUGAGACACGGCCCAAACUCCUACGGGAGGCAGCAGUAGGGAAUCUUCGGCAAUGGACGAAAGUCUGACCGAGCAACGCCGCGUGAGUGAAGAAGGUUUUCGGAUCGUAAAACUCUGUUGUUAGAGAAGAACAAGGAUGAGAGUAACUGUUCAUCCCUUGACGGUAUCUAACCAGAAAGCCACGGCUAACUACGUGCCAGCAGCCGCGGUAAUACGUAGGUGGCAAGCGUUGUCCGGAUUUAUUGGGCGUAAAGCGAGCGCAGGCGGUUUCUUAAGUCUGAUGUGAAAGCCCCCGGCUCAACCGGGGAGGGUCAUUGGAAACUGGGAGACUUGAGUGCAGAAGAGGAGAGUGGAAUUCCAUGUGUAGCGGUGGAAUGCGUAGAUAUAUGGAGGAACACCAGUGGCGA
rnacentral:rRNA from 1 species